rnacentral:other from 1 species
UGUUCCCUGCGGUGUUCGUCUAGACUUAUAUUCUUUGAACCAACUUUUUGAGAAUCGGUUGCAAACCAGUAUGACGCUGUUGUGCGCACCCUUCAUGGGAGCGCCUGAUGCGUCCGGGAAGUGACCACCUUGGACCCUGAGGUUCAAGAUAAUCAGUCUGACGGCAUCUGCGGGGACCUU